CGGGGCGUAGCGCAGUCCGGUUAGCGUACCUGCUUUGGGAGCAGGUGGUCGCGAGUUCGAAUCUCGCCACCCCGA
rnacentral:tRNA from 1 species